rnacentral:rRNA from 2 species
GGACUACCAGGGUAUCUAAUCCUGUUUGAUCCCCACGCUUUCGUGCAUCAGAGUCAAUGAUUGUGUAGCAAGCUGCCUUCGCAAUUGGUGUUCUAUGUCAUAUCUAAGCAUUUCACCGCUACAUGACAUAUUCCGCUUACCUCCACAAUAUUCAAGACAGAUAGUAUCAACGGCAGUUCCCAAGUUAAGCUCGGGGAUUUCACCACUGACUUACCUGCCCUCCUACGCACCCUUUAAACCCAGUGAAUCCGGAUAACGCUUGCACCCUCCGUAUUACCGCGGCGGCUGGCAC